rnacentral:lncRNA from 1 species
AACUGCCUUAAACGCAACAAUAAUGCGAAAUCAAAAAGCACUAAACGGCAGGUAGGUAAACAACAUAAAAAGCUUUUAAUGACUAACGUUUUCGGCGCUCUAGGUGCCAUCAUCGGGUAACAGAACAAAAAAAGAAGCUUAUUAAGAAAGGAAGUAAGAAGGUAACUUAUAAAAGACAUCCCACCAUAUAUAAUCUAUUUAGAAAUGAAAAAGAUAAUAGGAAGCAUGAAAAAAUGUCCGGAGUAUAUAGAAUUCCGACAAUGAAUCACGCAAAAAACGAGGAAGAAGCUUAUAUAGGAGUUACAGCGAGACCAUUAGAGCUAAGAAUACAAGAACACAAAAGAGAUGUAGCUAGAGGGAACCUGAACACCGCACUAGCGAGAAGUGCUUAUGAAAGCGAUAUACGAAUAAAUUGGCAUGAGGCGAAAGUAGUUAAGUGUUAAAAAAGAAAAGCAUACCGCCAUGGCAGAAGCCUUAGAAAUUUUCACUAGACAGCAUGAAGAGUCGCUCCUAAAUGACCACCCUGGGCAAGAGUUGCCCCCUCCAUGGAAGUUCCUCUUAAGAAAGAGUAUGUAAAUAUGUGAAAGAAGAAUGGGCAUGUUAAUU